AUGUCCGGCCGCGGGAAGCAGGGGGGCAAAGUCCGCGCCAAGGCCAAGUCGCGCUCGUCGCGGGCCGGGCUGCAGUUCCCCGUGGGCCGCGUGCACCGUCUCCUCCGGAAAGGUGACUACGCGGGGCCCCGGUGUACCUGGCGGCCGUGCUGGAGUACCUGACGGCCGAGAUCCUGGAGCUGGCGGGCAACGCGGCCCGCGACAACAAGAAGACGCGCAUCAUCCCCCGCCACCUGCAGCUGGCCAUCCGCAACGACGAGGAGCUCAACAAGCUGCUGGGCAAGGUGACCAUCGCGCAGGGCGGGGUGCUGCCCAACAUCCAGGCCGUGCUCCUGCCCAAGAAGACUGAGAGCCACAAGGCUAAAAGUAAAUAAACCUUAAUGAGCAAAGCCUCUCAGACUUGUCAAAACUUCACAAACACCCCAAAGGCUCUUUUCAGAGC